rnacentral:tRNA from 1 species
UAGUUUCUAGGUUAAAAAAACCUAUAUAGUUCAAAUAUAUCAAUGUAUAAAUUUAUACGAAACUAA